CCUACGGGGGACAGCAGUAGGGAAUCUUCCACAAUGGGCGAAAGCCUGAUGGAGCAACGCCGCGUGGGUGAAGAAGGUCUUCGGAUCGUAAAACCCUGUUGUUAGAGAAGAAAGUGCGUGAGAGUAACUGUUCACGUUUCGACGGUAUCUAACCAGAAAGCCACGGCUAACUACGUGCCAGCAGCCGCGGUAAUACGUAGGUGGCAAGCGUUAUCCGGAUUUAUUGGGCCGAAAGGGAACGCAGGCGGUCUUUUAAGUCUGGUGGGAAAGCCUUCGGCUUACCCGGCGUAGUGCAUUGGAAACUAGUGAACUUGAGUGCGGAAGAGGGGAGUGGAACUCCAUGUGUAGCGGUGAAAUGCGUAGAUAUAUGGAAGAACACCAGUGGCGAAGGCGGCUCUCUGGGCUGUAACUGACGCUGAGGUUCGAAAGCGUGGGUAGCAAACAGGAUUAGAUACCCCUGUAGUC
rnacentral:rRNA from 1 species